rnacentral:rRNA from 1 species
UACAGAGGGGGCAAGCGUUAUUCGGAAUUAUUGGGCGUAAAGGGCGCGUAGGCGGCUUGGCAAGUGGAAGGUGAAAUCCCUCGGCUUAACCGAGGAACUGCCCUCCAAACUGCUUGGCUUGAGACCGGGAGAGGUGAGUGGAAUUCCCAGUGUAGCGGUGAAAUGCGCAGAUAUCAGGAAGAACACCCGUGGCUAAGGCGGCUCUCUAGUACGGUACUGACGCUGAGACGCGAAAGCGUGGGGAGCGAACAGG